CCUACGGGAGGCAGCAGUGGGGAAUCUUGCACAAUGGGCGAAAGCCUGAUGCAGCGAUGCCGCGUGCGGGAAGAAGGCCUUAGGGUUGUAAACCGCUUUCAGGAGGGAAGAAAAUGACGGUACCUCCAGAAGAAGGUGCGGCCAACUACGUGCCAGCAGCCGCGGUGACACGUAGGCACCAAGCGUUAUCCGGAUUUAUUGGGCGUAAAGAGCUCGUAGGCGGUUUGGUAAGUCGGGUGUGAAAACUCUGGGCUCAACCCAGAGAGGCCACUCGAUACUGCUAUGACUAGAGUACGGUAGGGGAGCGGGGAAUUCCUGGUGUAGCGGUGAAAUGCGCAGAUAUCAGGAGGAACACCAGCGGCGAAGGCGCCGCUCUGGGCCGUAACUGACGCUGAGGAGCGAAAGCAUGGGUAGCAAACAGGAUUAGAUACCCUGGUAGUCCAUGCCGUAAACGUUGGGCACUAGGUGUGGGUCUCAACCAACGAGAUCCGCGCCGUCGCUAACGCAUUAAGUGCCCCGCCUGGGGAGUACGGUCGCAAGACUAAAACUCAAAGGAAUUGACGG
rnacentral:rRNA from 1 species